UACCCAGUGGCUCAGCGGUUAAAGCAUCUGCCUGGAAUGCAGGAGACCCGGGUUUGAUCCCUGGAUCGGGAA
rnacentral:tRNA from 1 species